rnacentral:rRNA from 1 species
UACAGAGGGUGCAAGCGUUGUUCGGAAUUAUUGGGCGUAAAGCGCGUGUAGGCGGCUUUGCAAGUCGGGUGUGAAAGCCCUCAGCUCAACUGAGGAAGUGCGCCCGAAACUGCAGAGCUUGAGUGCCGGAGAGGGAUGCGGAAUUCCAGGUGUAGCGGUGAAAUGCGUAGAUAUCUGGAGGAACACCGGUGGCGAAGGCGGCAUCCUGGACCGAGAUUGACGCUGAGGCGCGAAAGCCAGGGGAGCAAACGGGG